UCGGGACUUGUAGUCCGCGCCCCGUGGCCGGCGCAUCCCUGGGCGGCCUCUCCUGCCUGCGCCACGUGCAGGCCGGAGUCGCCAGUUUGCUGCGCCGCUCGUGCGCUCCGCCCCCUCCCCGGGGCGCCCAGGGCCUGAGCCCGCCCCCAGCGGGUCCCCCAGCGCGGGAAGAGCUCCGCACUGCGGUUUGGAGGUCAACGUGAACUUGGAAGGGGCCACAGACAUUCACCCCAUGGCAGUAGGCAAUGCUUUCUGGAAGUUUGACCAGAAGACAGGGACAUGUGGAGCUGGGGCUCCAGUGUGGGAGCCUGCAAAGUCCCUGCCCUUGGGAAUUUGCAUCUGGAUAACAGGACCUGACAUGCUAGCAGGUGCCUUCAGUUAGAGCCAACCUGAUGCUGUGCUGACGGACUCUGGGGACAGACAAGAAAGGUGCCAGCCCGCACCCAGUGUGCCAGGCAGGACUUUCUGGAGAAAAGAUCUCUAGACUGAAGGAAGGGUGAGAGGGGAGUUCACUGUGGGGAGAGUGUGUGUGGCAGAGGGAACAGCAAAGGUGAAGGUUCAGAGGCAAAAGAGAAAUAGGCAUCGGGUUCCUUUGAGAAACCGAAAUGUCAUUCCAUUUGGGAGUAGAGCAAGAGGUAGACGCAGAUGAGGCAUAUAGGUGGGUAGGGGCUGGCUAAGGCGGGCUCCUGUCAUAGAGGUUUGGAUUGUAUUUGGAAGGUGGUGGCGCAGUAUUGAGAGCUUAGCUUGGAGUGAUAGGGUGAGCUUGGUCUUUUAACUGGAAGCAGCGAGAACAGUCGGUUAAGCAGCAGGCAGCUGAUGAGAGAACCUGCCAGGCCCAGAGCUGCAGCUGACAACUGUGGGGUCUGCAGGGUAACGGAGGGGAAGAGUGAAAGGUGACCUCUGGAUUUUUAAAAAGUAUUUGUUUAUCUAUUAGAAAGGCAGAGCAACAGAGAGAGAGAUCUUCCACUUAGUAGUUCACUCCCCAUAUGCCCACAAUAGCUAAAGCCAGGAGCCUGGAGCUCCAUCCAGGUCUUCCCUGCAGAUGGCAGGGGCCCAGGCAGUUGGGCCGUCUUCUGCUGCUUUUCCCUGGCCUCUAGCAGGGAGCUGGAUCGGAAGUGGAGCAGCCGGGACACAAGCCGGCGCCCAUGUGGGAUGCCAGCAUCGCAGAGGGUGCUUUACCUACUACGCCACAAUGCCAGCCCCUUUAGGCUGCUUUCCAAUGCAUGAUACGUGUUUAGCCCUCACAAUAUCACUUCAUCAGAUAUAAGCUUGGUCCCUUUCCAUAACUUUUUUUCUCUAAACUUUUAAUAAAAAAUUUUUUUUCUCCAAAAAUUUUUAUUUAAGGUAUACAAACUUCAUGCAUUUCAUAAGUAUAAGUUUAGGAACACAAUGAUCCUCCCCACCCUAUCUGCUCUCCUGCCCACACUCCCACCCUCUUCCUCCUCCCUCUCCUAUUCCCAUUCUUGUUUUUUACUAAGAUCUAUUUUCAAUUAACUUUAUGCAUGUAAGAUUAACCUUAUACUACGUAAAGAGUUCAACAAAUAGUGUGGGGAAAAAAAGCCUUCCUCAACCCUUGAGACAAGGGCUGUUCAAGGUCAUUACAUCUCAAAGUGUCAAUUUCACUUCUAUAGCUUGCCUUGGGCACUCUGUUAGUUACCACAGAUCCGGAGGAUACAUGGUGUUUGUCCUUUUGGGACUGGCUUAUUUCACUAAGUAUAAAGUUUUCCAGUUACAACUACUUUGUUGCGGAUCUCUAAACUUUUUGAAGUCAAAGUAACACAUACACAGGGUCUUACAGUGAUCUAGGACUAAGUAACACUGAACUCCCCAGCUGCCCCUCCGAGAAACAACCCUUCCAGCCAUUUCUGCUGCUUCCUCUCAUGUUUACGUCCAUAUUUCUGCAUAAUGACUUUAUGCUGCUUUUGUUUUUUUGAAAACCCUUUUACAUUAGUAGUACAUUUCACAUAUUUCUUUUUUUAAAAAAGAUUUUCUUUAUUUAUUAGAGAAGUAGAGUUGCAGAGAGCGGGAGAGACACAGAGGUCUUCUAUCUGCUGGUUCACUCCCCAGUUGGCUGUAAUGGCUGGAGCUGUGCUUAUCCGAAGCCAGGAGCCAGGAGCUUCUUCCAGGUCUCCCACGUGGGUGCAGGGGCCUAAGGACUUGGGCCACCUUCUACUGCUUUCCCAGGCCAUAGCAGAAAGUUGGAUCAGAAAAGGAGCAGCCAGGACACGAACCGGUGCCCAUAUGGGAUGCCGGUGCCACAGGCUGAGGCCACAGUGCCAGCCCCAACAUCUCACGUACUUCUAAAAUGAAACAUAACGAAUAUGCAGGGGUGGGCUUUUGGCUCAAUGGUUAAGAUGCCACUUAGGACACCUGUGUUCCAUUUCAGAGCACCAAGGUUCAAGUCCUGGCUCUGCUCCUAGUCCCAGCUUCCUGCUUAUGUGCACCCUGGAAGGGAGCAGGUGAUGGGUGACCCUGGACGCUGGGUUCCUGCUAUCCAUGUGAGAAAUCUGUGUUGAGUUCCAGGCUCCUGGCGUAGGCCUGUUCCAGCCUUGGCUGUUGCAGACACUUGGGCAGUGAGCCAAAAGACAGAUCUCUCUCUCUCUCUCUCUCUCUCU